rnacentral:rRNA from 1 species
UAUUAUUCUAAUAGUAAAUUAAUCUCUAGAUUAGAAAUAGUUAUUUACUUAAAAUUUAAAAAAUUUGGCGGUAAUUUAAUCUUUCCAGAGGAAUUUGUUUCUUAAUCGAUAAACCACGAAGUAUCUUGCUUGUUUUGGUAAUAGUUUGUAUACCAUCAUUAUCAGGUAAUUUUAAAAGAAUAAAUUACUAAACAUAAUUAUUUAAAUAAAUUAGAUCAUGGUGCAGCUAAUAAAUAAGUUGAAAUGAGUUACAAUAAAUUAUUUUAAUACGAAUUAAUGUGUGAACAUAUAUUAAGAAGGAGGAUUUGGUUGUAUUUUGAUAUUAAUAGGUUCAGAAGAUAUAAGCUCUAGAUUAUGUACAUAU